GGGGUGGGUUCACCCCUGAAAGCUUCAUCAGCCCAUGCAUACUUCUCCACCUUGGUUAACAUCUCCGCAAAAUCACAAGGGUAGGACUUCUCCAAAGAGUAUUGGAGACCAUUUUUUAAAAGCCUGUCCUUCAAGGUGGCCAUCACGAUCGAUUGAUCUAGGUCGUGCACUUUCAAAACGGCCGCAUUAAAAUGGCCAAGG
rnacentral:lncRNA from 1 species